CUACGGGAUGCACCAGUGGGGAAUAUUGCACAAUGGGCGCAAGCCUGAUGCAGCCAUGCCGCGUGUAUGAAGAAGGCCUUCGGGUUGUAAAGUACUUUCAGCGGGGAGGAAGGGAGUAAAGUUAAUACCUUUGCUCAUUGGCGUUACCCGCAGAAGAAGCACCGGCUAACUCCGUGCCAGCAGCCGCGGUAAUACGGAGGGUGCAAGCGUUAAUCGGAAUUACUGGGCGUAAAGCGCACGCAGGCGGUUUGUUAAGUCAGAUGUGAAAUCCCCGGGCUCAACCUGGGAACUGCAUCUGAUACUGGCAAGCUCGAGUCUCGUAGAGGGGGGUAGAAUUCCAGGUGUAGCGGUGAAAUGCGUAGAGAUCUGGAGGAAUACCGGUGGCGAAGGCGGCCCCCUGGACGAAGACUGACGCUCAGGUGCGAAAGCGUGGGGAGCAAACAGGAUUAGAUACCCCUGUAGUC
rnacentral:rRNA from 1 species